UGCCAUCUCGAAACUAAGAACAAAUAGAUAAAAUAACCAUCACAAGUAAAGUGAAAUCGCUCAUGAAAAUUGAGAAACGAAGUAGUUAUUGCUAGUAAAGUGACAUCGCUCAUGAAAAUUGAGAAACGAAAUAGUUAUUGCUACCAUUUUUAGUAUGGCUGAACAUUUCGUACGUGUGUAACAUAACUGGGGUGAUGGAUGCAAGGUUUUUGUAUUUUGUGGUGGUGCAUAAUUUUUCAUUUACAUUGGUCUUGAAGGUAAUUAAUUCCAGUCGAAUCGUUAUGUAAAUAGACGCCUUGUAUACGAAAAAUUAGUCGCGGGGGAACAACAUAAGCUCUUUAUGACGGAAGAAGUAGCAAGAUAUCUCGCUGCGGUAAUACUUCACCGGAUAGUGAUCCAGAUUCCUGGAUCAGCAACUGCAACCAGUAAUUCGCCUACGUCAAUCAUCAACC